GCCAGUAUGGGGUAGUGGUUUAGUGUUAGACUAGGAUCCUAGAGAUCAGGGUUCAAAUCUCUGCUUGGCA